rnacentral:rRNA from 1 species
GAUGAACGUUAGCGGCAGGCCUAAUACAUGCAAGUCGAGGGGUAAGGCUCAUUUCGGUGAGUACACGACCGGCGCACGGGUGCGUAACGCGUAUGCAACCUACCUUUAACAGGGGGAUAGCCCCGAGAAAUCGGGAUUAAUACUCCAUAACAAUAGUUUACCACAUGGCAGACUAUUUAAAGCUCCGGCGGUUAAAGAUGGGCAUGCGUGACAUUAGCUGGUUGGUGAGGUAACGGCUCACCAAGGCGACGAUGUCUAGGGGGUCUGAGAGGAUGAUCCCCCACACUGGUACUGAGACACGGACCAGACUCCUACGGGAGGCAGCAGUAAGGAAUAUUGCGCAAUGGAGGCAACUCUGACGCAGCCAUGCCGCGUGCAGGAAGACGGCCUUAUGGGUUGUAAACUGCUUUUAUAAAGGAAUAACACCUUGCUCGUGAGCGAGGUUGAAGGUACUUUAUGAAUAAGCACCGGCUAACUCCGUGCCAGCAGCCGCGGUAAUACGGAGGGUGCAAGCGUUAUCCGGAUUCAUUGGGUUUAAAGGGUGCGCAGGCGGACCUGUCAGUCAGUGGUGAAAUCCCGGGGCUCAACCUCGGAACUGCCAUUGAUACUGCAGGUCUUGAGUUUGGUUGAAGUGGGCGGAAUGUAGCAUGUAGCGGUGAAAUGCAUAGAUAUGCUACAGAACACCGAUCGCGAAGGCAGCUCACUAAGCCGAUAUUGACGCUCAGGCACGAAAGCGUGGGUAGCGAACAGGAUUAGAUACCCUGGUAGUCCACGCCGUAAACGAUGAUAACUCGUUGUUGGCGAUACACAGUCAGCGACUAAGCGAAAGCGAUAAGUUAUCCACCUGGGGAGUACGAUCGCAAGGUUGAAACUCAAAGGAAUUGACGG